rnacentral:ncRNA from 2 species
UUCUUAUCAAGAGAGGCAGAGGGACUGGCCCAAUGAAGCCUCAGCAACCGGUCAAAACGAGUGAAGAUCUGGCGAAUGUUGAUUUUGCUAUAUGUUAAGUGAAGCUCUAUGUUGUUUUUUACAGCACGGGAAGAUAA